GACGAACGCUGGCGGCGUGCUUAACACAUGCAAGUCGAACGGAAAGGCCCUGCUUUUGUGGGGUGCUCGAGUGGCGAACGGGUGAGUAACACGUGAGUAGCCUGCCCUUGACUUUGGGGUAACUUCAGGAAACUGGGGCUAAUACCGGAUAGGAGCUCCUGCUGCAUGGUGGGGGUUGGAAAGUUUCGGCGGUUGGGGAUGGACUCGCGGCUUAUCAGCUUGUUGGUGGGGUAGUGGCUUACCAAGGCUUUGACGGGUAGCCGGCCUGAGAGGGUGACCGGCCACAUUGGGACUGAGAUACGGCCCAGACUCCUACGGGAGGCAGCAGUGGGGAAUAUUGCACAAUGGGCGGAAGCCUGAUGCAGCAACGCCGCGUGCGGGAUGACGGCCUUCGGGUUGUAAACCGCUUUCGCCUGUGACGAAGCGUGAGUGACGGUAAUGGGUAAAGAAGCACCGGCUAACUACGUG
rnacentral:rRNA from 1 species